GUUCAUGGAUCGCCAUCAGCAGCAGAAGCUCCAACAUCCCUGGACAGGAGAGCCAUAAAUCAGUAAUAUGUGGCUAAUACCAGUGUACUGAGAGUGAUAUGAAGCUUGUGAAAUGAAUGAUCACACAAAUCUGCUCAACUCUGCAUGCUGUUGGAGAAAUGGAUCACCUUGCUCUCUUUCUAUGGUCUCUGCCACCAUAUUUAUCAAAUAUAUAUUCAAAUAUGGAGGCAAUCAGCUUUACUCUUCCACCUAGAGAAGAAAGGACCACAAUCAAAUCAGCUAGAGAAGUAAACGGGGCAGCACACUGCCUGAAGGAAAACACCCGGAAACUGCUAAGAGAGUGUUAUCUUCGAAAUCCAUAUCCCAGUCCAGCACAAAAGAGGCAUCUUUCCUACAUGACUGGAUUGCGUCCCACACAAGUUACUAACUGGUAUAAAAACAGAAGACAAAGGGAUAGGGCAGUUAGCUCAAAAAUGAAGUUCCAAUAGAGGCAGUUGUUGACAUCUGAGGAUAUUUCAUGAGGAUCAAAAUGUUCAUCAUAAUGCCAGAUGACCAUUCAAUCAGUAUAUUUGUUGACUGUGUAAUGUACAAAUUUUAAAAAUAGAUAUUAACCCUAGUUAUGCU